UCCUUCCUGGCGGCCAUUUUGAAUUUAUCCUUGGCCUUGCAAUACGAUGAAAAACAAACUUCACUCUCACGCACAGAAAUAGUGCUACUAAACUCCAUUUUGGAGUGUCGAUUGAAGAAUGCAAGUAUUUUGAAUUCCAAUAAUGCGAGGACGAAACUGAAAAACUUUGUAAUUUCGUUUUGGUGCCGUCGCCAUCAAACCCAAAGGCGAUUAAUUACCACACCUCAGCUCACAUGAAAAGCAACUGAAAACACGAAGAUAAGAAAGUUGUAGCGACGCUACGAGUAGAUAAAAUUAGCCACCAACUUAAAUAUUUCAUGCUAACAUUUGGAAGCUACAAAAUUUUAAUUAUGUAGGAAUACGACUUUGAGGCUGUAGAAUAAUUGUGGAAUAGAUGCAAGUCCACACAAAAUGGAGUUCUUGUAACUGAGGUAAGAUGUGUCGAAGAAUUGCAUCGAUGUUUGCAUUUUUGUUAAGCUAUUGCUCAAAAAACAUAUUACUACAAGAAUAAUCCUUUAUAGUUGUGUAUAUGUCGCAUGAAAUAUGCAGCGCAAUUUUAAUAAUGGCGUUUUCUCGCAAUCGGAAAAGUUCAGUUUUUGACCUGUGGAGGAUGACAUAUAAUAAAAGCUAAAUAACUGAGCACAAUCAUGUUGUCAAAUAUAACCUUGUCAAAUAUAUUGCGAAGAGAUGAAUUUAUAAAACAGAAAGAUUGAAAUUAAAAUUUCUCCUCAGUGAAGCAAGAACUUUACUUACAGUACAUGCAUUUUAAUGUUUUUAACUUGAAAUCCUUUCAUCACAUUAGCGACUUAAAUGGUGGCCAAACUGCACUGCAGCAAUGGUUUCACUCCAAUAUUUGAAGGUUCUUACCUUCUUUACAAGUUCAUUGACUGUUGAAUGCUUAAAAGCAUGUAAACUUUAAACAACUAAAGAUCAGAAUUAUGAAAUUUUAAAGCGUUCAAGGGUUUUAUUUAUUGAUAGAAAAAGGUAAGUCGCCGAACGACAGAACAAAACAAGAUAUUUCAAUCCUCAUUUAAGGUGCACAUGGUGUCGAACGCUUUGACAUGACAAGUUUCACUUUUUAUUAUUUAAACUUCAGUACAAGCGUCGCGUCAACGCUUGAUAAUUAGCACCACAUAAACGUGAGUUUCGUUAUGAGGAAAUGUGAAGUUUUCGGUACUACACAGAUUAAGCGUCGAUAACAGAUGAGUUCAUCGACUCAAAUACCGAAACUCUGGCAAGCUAUUUUCACACCGAUCAAGGCUUAGCGAAAUUCUUCAUCAGGUGAAAGGUUAAAGUCUGCAGUCGAGCCAAAGUCACCGUCAUGUAGAAGCUUAGAUAUAAGGUUCAAAAGGUUCUUAAAAACGUCAAAAAUGCGCUGGUAAUCUAAACGUUUCGGGCUUAGCCCUUCUUCAGUAGGUGGAAUGUAGAAGUUUAUCCCGGCUUCCGUACCCUCGAUGGAAUGCUAGUUCGUCACCCCACACCCGAACCUCCCUUCCCCUCCCUCAACCUCCAGCCUUUCGUCAAGUGCUAGUUGCUGUACAGCUGUGCCCAUUUAAACACCAGGGCACGGAAAGAAGCUGUGUAAGAACGGUGUUUUGCCCAAAAACACAACACCAUGGUUUACAUGUCGUCCACUUGGUCCACAUUUAACCAGAAAACAAUAGGCCGCGCAUUGGCGCUGUUCCUUUCUACUAUCUACUUUUCUUGCAGAAACGUUUUAAUCAAAAACUUCAACAAUCCAAGCACAAUUUACCUUACUCCUACGACUAAACCUCAAAGCAAUUAAUUUACACCAGCUUUCAGUGUUACGUGCAUAGGCGACAUUUUUCGACAUGCUAUGUAACCUGGCCUACGUAAGAAAUAUAAGCACAACGGAUUUCUUUUCGGUCGAACUCGACUUUUAGUCAUGAAAGAUUGAUUUAUUUGACAUCAGAAUAAGGCUAGGAGUAUGAAAGAAGUCUUUCUAUGAGAAAUAAAUCGACUGUUUUGAACGCUUACGUCUUUCGAAUAUUAUAAGCGGCAGCCGCCCAAUUCUACCGGAAGUCACCAUUGAGAGCCGAUCGACCACACUCAAACCGUCUGAUUUAUCCAGUAAAUCGGGAAACAUGCAAAGUCCAUAAUCUUCUUCAGACAUUUGAGGUCUGUAAUUAUCAUUUAUUUGUCAUUUUCUUCCGCUAAUAACCAGAAUAAUUGCCAUUUUCACGGUCUUUCAGCCGUUAACAUAGCAUGUCGAGAGAUAGUCGAAAGAUGUCGCUUAAACAC